UACAGAGGGUGCGAGCGUUAAUCGGAAUUACUGGGCGUAAAGCGUGCGUAGACGGUUAUGUAAGUCAGGUGUGAAAGCCCCGGGCUCAACCUGGGAAUUGCAUUUGAGACUGCAUAGCUAGGGUGCGGAAGAGGGAAGCGGAAUUUCCGGUGUAGCGGUGAAAUGCGUAGAUAUCGGAAGGAACACCAGUGGCGAAAGCGGCUUCCUGGUCCAGCACCGACGUCAGGCACGAAAGCGUGGGGAGCAAACAGG
rnacentral:rRNA from 1 species